rnacentral:misc_RNA from 1 species
GUAGGUGAACCUGCGGAAGGAUCAUUAUUGAAAUAAAUCUGAUGAGUUGCUGCUGGUUCUCCAGGGAGCAUGUGCACGCUUGUCAUCUUUAUAUCUCCACCUGUGCACCUUUUGUAGACCUGGAUAUCUCUCUGAAUGCUAGUCAUUCAGGAUUGAGGAUUGACUUCAUUUCAUGUCUCUCCUUCCAUUUCCAGGCCUAUGUUUCUUCAUAUACCCCAAUGUAUGUCAUAGAAUGUAAUCAGUGGCCUUUGUGCCUAUAAACUUAUACAACUUUCAGCAACGGAUCUCUUGGCUCUC